rnacentral:lncRNA from 1 species
GGUAGGCUGAACACCCAGCCCAUGUUUUACCGGGCUGUACUGGAUCAUACCGGCCUGUACUGGUUUGUACUGGGGUUACUGGACUACACCGGGCUGUACUGCACUGUGUUGUCUCACGGAUUGUACUGUGUCCUGUCGGGUUGUACUGGGUCUGGUCAUACGGUACCAGGAUGUACUGGGCUGGACUGGGCCAUACUGGAUCAGGUCAGCUCUGCUGCUGCUGGACUGGGCACCCCCCAAAUGGGGGCCACAGGGUGGUGAUGCAGGGGACAGACACCCCACAAAGGGUGCCCCAUGUCCCUCCCCUCGCUCACCAUUCCCCUGGGGAGCUGCGGUCACUGCGGUCACUGCGGUCACUGCAGUCACUGGUCACUGUGGUCACUGCGGUCACUGUGGUCACUGCGGUCACUGCAGUCACUGGUCACUGUGGUCACUGUGGUCACUGCGGUCACUGCGGUCACUGCGGUCACUGGUCACUGUGGUCACUGCGGUCACCGAGGUCACUGCGGUCACUGUGGUCACUGCGGUCACUGUGGUCACUGUGGUCACUGUGGUCAGUGGUCACUGCGGUCACUGUGGUCACUGCGGUCACUGCGGUCACUGCGGUCACUGGGGUCACUGUGGUCACUGCGGUCACUGCGGUCACUGCGGUCACUGUGGUCAGUGGUCACUGCGGUCACUGCGGUCACUGCGGUCACUGUGGUCACUGUGGUCACUGGUCACUGCGGUCACUGGGGUCACUGCGGUCACUGGUCACUGCGGUCACUGCGGUCACUGCGGUCACUGUGGUCACUGGUCACUGCGGUCACUGCGGUCACUGCGGUCACUGUGGUCACUGUGGUCACUGCGGUCACUGCGGUCACUGCGGUCACUGCGGUCACUGCAGUCACUGCAGUCACUGCGGUCACUGCGGUCACUGCGGUCACUGCGGUCACUGCGGUCAGUGGUCACUGCGGUCACUGCGGUCACUGCGGUCACUGCAGGGCUGCGGAAGGGGGGACACAGCGCAGGGGGGUGGUCUCUGCGGCACAGCCGGGGCUCAGUGGGGCACAGUCAGGCCUUGGUGGGGCUGCCCAGGGAGGUUUGGAGUCCCCGUCCUUGGAUGUGUCCCAGGGAUGCCUGGAUGUGGCACUCAGGGCUCUGGGACAAGGUGGGGGCACAGCCUGGACUCGCCGGCCUUGGAGGGCUUUUCCAGCCUCAGGGAUCCUGUGGUUCUGGAGCGGUGGCCACAGAGUGGGGAAGGGACUGGGGGCUCAGGGGGUGCAGCAGGAGGUGCUGAGCGUGGAGCUCCGGGGCCCCGCCAGCCCUGCCAGGACCCCCAGCACCCACCGGCGCGGGCACCACCAAACCCCAGCGCCGGCAGCACCACCUCCAUACGGGACCCACAGCCCCCCAGAGCUCUGUCUACAGCCCCAUGGCCCCCACGGGACUCCCGGGACCUCCAAGUUGUUGCUCUCGUGCCCUCCUGGAUGUGGCCCCACACAGGUCCCUGCUGUCCCCAGGGCCACGUUCCUGUGUCCCACUGUCCAC